rnacentral:tRNA from 1 species
GCCUUCGUGGUAUAACGCUAGCACAUUUGGCUUGUAUUCGAGAGGUCCAAGUUCGAGUCCUGGUGAGGGUA